GCAAGUCGAACGCGAAAUUUCCUUCGGGGAAGAGUAGAGUGGCGGACGGGUGAGUAACGCGUAGGAAUCUACCUAAGUGUGGGGGAUAACAUGGAGAAAUUCAUGCUAAUACCGCAUACGCCCCACGGGGUAAAGAGGGCCUCUUCUUGAAAGCUCUUGCAUUUAGAUGAGCCUGCGUCGGAUUAGCUUGUUGGUGGGGUAAUGGCCUACCAAGGCGACGAUCCGUAGCUGGUCUGAGAGGAUGAUC
rnacentral:rRNA from 1 species